GGCCUUAUGGUCUAGUCGCAUGAUUCCUCGUUUGGGUGAAAAUUCGAGGAGGUCCUGGGUUCAAUUCCCAGUGAGGCCC